CACGGAGGGAGCUAGCGUUAUUCGGAAUUACUGGGCGUAAAGCGCACGUAGGCGGUUUUGUAAGUUAGAGGUGAAAGCCUGGAGCUCAACUCCAGAAUUGCCUUUAAGACUGCAUCGCUUGAAUCCAGGAGAGGUGAGUGGAAUUCCGAGUGUAGAGGUGAAAUUCGUAGAUAUUCGGAAGAACACCAGUGGCGAAGGCGGCUCACUGGACUGGUAUUGACGCUGAGGUGCGAAAGCGUGGGGAGCAAACAGG
rnacentral:rRNA from 1 species